AUUGAACGCUGGCGGCAUGCCUAACACAUGCAAGUCGAGCGGACGAAGGGAGCUGGCUCCUGGAUUCAGCGGCGGACGGGGGAGUAAUGCCUAGGAAUCUGCCGGGUUGUGGGGGAUAACGUCCGGAAACGGGCGCUAAUACCGCAUACGGCCUGAGGGAGGAAGUGGGGGAUCUUCGGACCGCACGCUAGCAGAGGAGCCUAGGUCGGAUUAGCUAGUUGGUGGGGUAAAGGCCUACCAAGGCGACGAUCCGUAACUGGUCUGAGAGGAUGAUCAGUCACACUGGAACUGAGACACGGUCCAGCCUCCUACGGGAGGCAGCAGUGGGGAAUAUUGGACAAUGGGCGAAAGCCUGAUCCAGCCAUGCCGCGUGUGUGAAGAAGGUCUUCGGAUUGUAAAGCACUUUAAGUUGGGAGGAAGGGCAGUAAGUUAAUACCUUGCUGUUUUGACGUUACCAACAGAAUAAGCACCGGCUAACUUCGUG
rnacentral:rRNA from 1 species